rnacentral:rRNA from 1 species
CCUACGGGAGGCAGCAGUGGGGAAUAUUGCACAAUGGGGGAAACCCUGAUGCAGCAACGCCGCGUGAGUGAUGACGGCCUUCGGGUUGUAAAACUCUGUCUUUGGGGACGAUAAUGACGGUACCCAAGGAGGAAGCCACGGCUAACUACGUGCCAGCAGCCGCGGUAAUACGUAGGUGGCAAGCGUUGUCCGGAUUUACUGGGCGUAAAGGGAGCGUAGGUGGAUAUUUAAGUGGGAUGUGAAAUACUCAGGCUUAACCUGGGUGCUGCAUUCCAAACUGGAUAUCUAGAGUGCAGGAGAGGAAAGGAGAAUUCCUAGUGUAGCGGUGAAAUGCGUAGAGAUUAGGAAGAAUACCAGUGGCGAAGGCGCCUUUCUGGACUGUAACUGACACUGAGGCUCGAAAGCGUGGGGAGCAAACAGGAUUAGAUACCCUGGUAGUCCACGCCGUAAACGAUGAUCACUCGCUGUUUGCGAUACACAGUAAGCGGCUGAGCGAAAGCAUUAAGUGAUCCACCUGGGGAGUACGAUCGCAAGGUUGAAACUCAAAUGAAUUGACGG